ensembl:lncRNA
GGGGGGGAGAGACUGCGUUGCAUACGAACGAGGUCUGUUUAUGUCUGGCACGCCACCCGUUGCGGCCCGUUUGCCCGGGAGCCACGUCGGCGGACAGGUGCGUGUCAGAGAGUCGAGGUCUGCGCUCUGCUCCUUGAAAGGAAGGAGCUAAUCUGUCGCCUAGCAACGCCUCCCACUCCUGCAUCGAGGCGGGAGCGAGAGGAGGAGAGAGGAUGUGGAGUAAAGGGGAGCGAUGAGGAAGAAAGAAAGAAAUUUCGGGACGCAGAGGUAGAUUGGGAACUCACUGCAAAGUAGAAACCUCGACGUAGACACAUACAUGCAAUACUUUUUAAAACAGCGUAAAAGACAACACUAAUAUCCAAAAUCUGUGACGGUGAUGAUUCUUAAUUUAAAUCAUCGCUUACUAAACAAGUAGAUUGUUUAGCAUGUACAUGUGUACUUUACAUACACACAAAGAGACAGUUUUUUGUACUAAAUUUAAAAGGCUAAGCAGCGCGAGGGGGCUGUAAAGCAGCUUCACAUAGCACACAGCUUCACGUAUACCGAACAUUAACUGACAUUGUUUAUCUAGAUUGCUCCUCUUACAUAAACAAAUAGGGCAGUUUUUAAACCGAGAACGCAAUAGAUGAUUCAAUAACACACAUUGAUCAAAAUUGGCAUUUGUUUUGUAAAAAUGAAGAACCUGAACUUCAAUAAAGAUAAAUUCCCGUCAUCAUACAGUCAACUGCAUUGACAGUAAAUGGAAAAGAACGUUAACAUUACGUCCACGAGUUGGCCCUCCGUGCUGAGAAAAAUGCUUCCCAGAUACAUUAUCAUGCCCCAACAUUUCCGUCUUGUGCCAGAGUUUCCAAUUGUUGUUGUUUGGUAAUGUGGUAAAAAAGUAGAAGAUAGAAACGAAUGUUUAAACAGCAGGUACUCGCAGAGACAUUGAGGUUAAGAAAGUUGGAACUCUGGUUGAAUGGAGCUCAACCUUUUUAGACUUGCUGUUAUUAGAGCCCUGGAAUAUUCAAACUGAACUCUCUUUCUUUUGUUUUCUGCUUUCUUUUAAUCCUCCCAACUCUUCAACUCCACGCUGUGACCUGCGGACUUGUGCCUCUACGCUCUGUAAAAACGCCAUUUGAAUAGCAAAGCAGACAAACCGGACAAAAUGCGGAUGUAUUAUCACGCCAUCACUAUGUUUACGGUGUUUGAGAUGUUAUCUGCUGCUCAGCUCACACACACACACACACACACACACAGCGGGUCCUUCUGACCACAUGCGACAGUCGGCUCAAAGCUCGACAGACGCAAUCUGUCAAUGUGAACCAUACAAACACCCACGCACGCAGCUCCACCCACUCUCCUGCUCCUCACCUCCCGCCUUUAUCCAUCACUGGCUGCCUCCGUCGCUGCGCUUUGUGAGCCAGUAGCCUUGUGCCUUUUCUCUUUGCUUUUCAAUAUCCUGAAUAUUUUUAGCAGCCGAGGCACAGAACAGGGGGCAGAAGUUUUCACAAGGGCUUUAUAGUGUUCAGAGUUCUCUGUCUCUCCAAGGGCCCUUGGGUUAUUCUUAGACUCAGAGGAGAACAUGGUGACAAUGACUCAGUGAAUAGGCAAGAUUUUUCUAUUGAUGAUGGAGCUCACAUGCGAGGCUUUUUAUACCGCGUGAGACUGAAUGUGUAUCCGUGUUCAAGGUUAAGCUGAAGUUUGUUUGGUAAAACACGCAUCGUUCUCACAUUUGAACACAAGAAGAACUUGUAUCUACUGAGUAUAUUUUUAACAUUUGACAUUCAUACAUUUUUAUAUAAAAUAUGUAUUCUUUUUAUGUCUGUGUAGCCGUAUGUCUUUCAUUUCACUGUGGACACAUGCAGAGACUUUACUGUAACAUACCAUCACAGACACUGACUGUUUCUCCCCACAGUGAGUUGGUGCUGAUGCGGGGUUGCCAUGGUGAUGUGAUGUAGAUGUGUUACAUCAUGAGAGACCUCCUCGCAGCAGAUAUUUUUCUUUUGAGACUCCCUCGCUACCUUUUCUCUAUAACCAUUCUUCUCCGUGUGCAUUUCGCUUGAGAUAAAAUGCCAAGAAGAUCAAAGACAAAAGAGUGGACACCUGCUGUCGGCAUUUAGCAUUUUACGUUAUCUUGAUUACAACGUAUACCAUCAAAGCACAUGUUCAAUUCGGGCAGAAAAAACAAGGUGUUGCAUAACGAAAACACAGAGUGGGCUGAUGAGAGCUAAGCAGGAAGAGAUGUGCCGUAUGGGCGUCACGUCAGCCAGUAAACCAUAUUUCUGCUCUUCUUUUCAUACAUUGUACUUUUUUCCCCUUUUCACUCGGCUUCCUCACUCAAAAAAGGUCUCCACUGAUGACCUGACUCCCCUACCAUUACAGUUCACUUUCCCUGUCUAUGUGGCCUAUUGUCCCGAGUACUUUCCUGAUUCAUUCAUUCAUUCGGAGCUCAUUCGUGACUGGAUGAGGUCAAUUGCUUGUCAGCUUGUUUAUUUCAUAAUUUAUUGCAUUAAAAGAGAAAAAAAGAGCUGUAAAUGUGUCAACAGGCUGGAAACCAUCACCAGGGUUAUUGACAAGCCUUUAAAUGGAUAUUUUUUUCAAAGUAGUUUGUUAAUAAAAACCUAAAUUAGAAAUGCAUAUAGAAGGUAUGUUUGGAAAUGUUGUUGUCUCUUAGUUGCUUCUUGAGACGUCUAAUUGUUGUGGAUGUUGUUGGGCAGAUUUGAGGGGUCCACAUGCUUCUGUAACCCAUUUCAGAUGGAAAUAUUAUUAUGCAAAACAAACCUCAGGUUACAAAAUAUGUAAUAUAAUGUCACAGAUUAAACUGCACAAUGUUAAACGUUGUUUAAAUGAGCUAUAAAGCCUUUGAAACAUAUGAGAAUAUAACUCCUGCCGGAACUUUUUUUACCCAAAAAUAAUAACUAUUUACUUUUUCUCGUGUGCUUCUUCACUCUGUAAGAUUAAGUUGAUAGUUGCAUUAAAGGGGUUAAUAAAGGUUACAAAAUAUAGAAUCAAGACAUCAAGUACUGCUGUUACACCAAAUAGGGAAUUGUUUCAUGUACUAAUAGUUAUAUCGGAUAUAAGUGAUGUUUAGCUCAACACAACUCCUCGUUAAACUUCUUUUAAAUUAACUUUUUUAUUCUGAAGCUUUAGUAAAAUAAUCCCAAUAUUGUAAAUUUGGGACAGAAAGUAUUGUAGAAAAUGCUCUGUUAACAACAACACAUAUAAAGCAUAUAAAUACAUGUUGUAUUUAAUCAUAUUUUACACCUGGGGCCUCGGAGGUAUGAAGAUGUUAACAUAAGUCAAAAUAGGUCUGAUCUGUUCAAAUCUUUACCGAUAAGCACUCAAAAAUAUUAUUCAAAUAGAAUCGCAUCGAUUUAGUUACCUAAAUACUUUUCCCAACCCGCCGUCCUUCUCUUCAGCUAAAGAGCUACAGAUUAAAAUUCCUCUCCAGCUUCUGCCACCUGCCCUUCACACACCUUUCACUUUCAGUUCGGCCUAUUUGAACUUUUCUUCUCAGGGCUGAAUGUCUUUUCAGGUCCCCUCUGCCGCUACACACCCACGCAGCCAUAGCAACGCGUGGCCGUUUCUUGGUAACUACAUUUAUGCAACAAGUAAAGAAAGUGAAGGCAGAGCAGGCUUAAAGCCUUAUAUAAAUCUGACAGGCUGUGAUCCAGUAGUCCAGCUGAAGUUUUCGUUGGUUUCAAGUUGGACUAAGAUGUUUUGUUCAUGAUCGCAUCCUCUCACACACACAUUCGUUGUAUCUUUAAUUGCAUCGUUGUUAUGCACGUGUGACCAAAUGACCUGCACCACAUUCCCAGCGUGUUCACGGGAGAUUGGACCGACCCGACGUAAAGAACGCGCCCGGAUAUUGAGCCUGUAAUUGGACCAGACUUCUAAGCUAAUUAUUUCCAGAGCCAACAUGAAAUGAAAGGAUUCCUGUUGUAUUAGGGGGGGGGGGGGUUUAUGGAGCAUAUCACGCAUAUCACGUGAAAGCGCCUGUGUGAUGAGUGGAGGUCACUUCUGGUCUGAUAAACGUUCAUAUUAGAAAAUAAGAAAAUCCCAAAGGAUUUCAUUAAAAAAAAUUGAAAGAUGAUGUGUCCAGAAACAAUAUUCCUACGGUUAUGAAGUCAAACAUUUGAGUCUAAGUAAGUUGAAAUGUAGAUAUUUUCAGUUUUAUUUUUUUUAAAAACCCAUAAUUGACCAAUAUCAUGUGUGUAAUUAAUGCAGCAAUAGGAUGAAUUAUAUUUGUCUCUUGCCGUUAUCAACUGUAAAUGAAAAACCCCACGUUGGUCCCCAGGAACCCCCGUGACUUCGGACCCCAUCAUCCUGUCAAAGUUUUACAACAAAAGCCUGCAAAACUAAUCUGUGAGCCUUAUACUAUACGGAUGACUUCCUUUCAAGUUAUUAUUCUUGCUAUGUUUAAUAUCCAUUAAGUUGGUGGAGGGGUGAAUAAGUACGCAAACUAUCAAAAAUGGAAAAAAGGUCAAUGAAGAAAAUAUUUGAUUACGAAACACGAUUGAAAUACACUCUUCUUUUUCUAUAUAACAGUGAUUUCUUUGUUUCUUAAUGGAAGCCAUAGUUCUGUAACACAGUUUGAAUGAACCUUUUCUUUUCAUUUAUUUAUUUAUUCAUAUAAACCGUAUGGAAAUAAGCAGAAGAGAGAGAGACCCAUUUCCCGCCUCAUGUCCUCACUAAUUUACACUCACUUAUAGACCGGCGCUCUUUGUGUGCAGCCGUUUUUUUUAACGUCCUACAGAUUCCACUGGCCGCUCUUUUCAUUAAUGAACUAUAGUCCCAGGGGGCUGUGGGUAAAUGACAC